rnacentral:piRNA from 1 species
UAAAAUGCCAUGGAGUGCUGGCCUUUGUCC